CACUGUUAGGAGGAACAGGAAAGGCUGUCUAUGAAGCAGUAGAGAUCAUUUGCUUCAUCUUGAAUUUCAAAUUCAUUUUAAGUAACAAUAUACAUUUAAAUACAUGCUUAUCUGUGGAUUUUAAGGAAGUGGCAAGAGUGAAACGAUUCUCACUGGAAAGGAAACAAUUAUACACCCAAGUGUAGAAAUGCUUUGUGUUCAGUGAUCCCAAGGGGUCAAUUCUCUGCUUGUCUAAGGCUCAGUUCUUCCCUUAGCUUUUCAGGCAGGACUCCAAUGGAAACACUGAGCUCAGCUGAACAAUAUAAAAAUGAUUUUCGAUGCCAAAUCAUCACCCUCAGUCCAAAUGGAAAAAGAAAUCCUAACCCAAGAAGCAGUGAAACAUUUACAAUGUGAAGAAUCUGAACCAAAUAUGGAUUCAGCCCUGGACUGCACUUCUGACGAAGAAAAUGCUGGCCACCUGCUUGGGGACACACACUCCGGUUCCUGGGUACUGCUGUUUGUAAAUGACUCCCACGGGCAGCAAGACAUCGUUUUCCCAGGUGGGCCACUCAUUUACUUUCUGUUUUCUUUCUCCCACUAUUCAUCUAUGUUGACAAGUGUCAAUUAUGGACAGCAGAUUUAUGGGAUGGGAAAGAUAAAGCCCAAUUUACAAAUCAUUUUCCGUGCAAGCCGACAGGUGCAAUGACAGAGCUGACUUGCUGUAAUUGAAUUUCUUGCUGCUAUCUACUCAGUCACAGGACGAUGUCAACUUCAAGGAUGUCAGCUGAGGAGAGUCUUAAUACGCUAAGAUUUUGAAAGCAGAGAUGAAAAUAUAUAGCCUAGGUUUCAACGAUGGACUCUGAGUCAUAAGUGUAUAGGGGGUGAUAUAUCUGAGAAAACUAAAGUAGCUAAAUUUGAAUCUACUCAUUCUU